rnacentral:rRNA from 1 species
GACGAACCGUCCGAACGUUAUUCGGAAUCACUGGGCUUAAAGGGCGCGUAGGCGGUAUAUUAAGCCUGUUGUUAAAUAUCUUGGCUUAACCAAGAAAAGGUGGUUGGAACUGAUAUGCUAGAGUAUGGAAGAGAGAAGUGGAAUUCCUGGAGUAGCGGUUAAAUGCGUAGAUCUCAGGAGGAACACCGAUGGCGAAGGCAGCUUCUUGGUCCAUAUCUGAUGCUGAGGCACGAAAGCGUGGGGAGCAAACAGG